CCAGUAGCGUAUAUUAAAGUUGUUGCAGUUAAAAAGCUCGUAGUUGAACCUCGGGAUCAAUGGGUCGGUCAUGCCAAUGGUAUGUACUGGCCUCAUUGGUUCUCACCUUCUAAGGAACCAUGAUGUCAUUCAUUUGAUGUUGUGGGGAAUUAGGACUGUUACCUUGAAAAAAUUAGAGUGUUUAAAGCAGGCUAACGCUUGAAUACAUUAGCAUGGAAUAAUGAAAUAGGACAUCGCAUUCUAUUUUGUUGGUUUCUAGGAUCGAUGUAAUGAUUAAUAGGGAUAGUUGGGGGCAUUAGUAUUCAAUUGUCAGAGGUGAAACUCUUGGAUUUAUUGAAGACUAACUACUGCGAAAGCAUUUGCCAAGGAUGUUUUCAUUAAUCAAGAACGAAAGUUAGGGGAUCGAAGACGAUCAGAUACCGUCGUAGUCUUAACCAUAAACUAUGCCGACUAGGGAUCGGAUGAUGUUGAUUUUUUAAUGACUCAUUCGGCACCUUACG
rnacentral:rRNA from 1 species